rnacentral:rRNA from 1 species
AUGUGCGAAAGCGCGAACCAGCAACGCCGCGUGCACGAUGAAGGCCUUCGGGUCGUAAAGUGCCUUUAGCGAGGAUGAGGAAGGACAGUACUUUCUGAAUAAGCCUCGGCUAACUACGUGCAAGCAGCAGCGGUAAAACGUCGGAGGCAAGCGUUCUCCGGAUUUACUGGGCGUAAAGCGCAUGCAGGUGGUUUUGUAAGUUGGAUGUGAAAGCUCCUGGCUUAACUGGGAGAGGUCGUUCAAAACUACAAGACUUGAGAUUGGUAGAGGAAAAUGGAAUUCCGGGUGUAGUGGUGAAAUGCGUAGAUAUCCGGAGGAACACCAGUGGCGAAAGCGGUUUUCUGGACCAAUUCUGACACUCAGAUGCGAAAGCUAAGG